UUGGAUCUACUGUACGAGAGUCUACUGUAGUCUACUGUCUGACUACAACAUUGUUGUCGUGUUGACGUUUGAAAGACAAACAAAAAGCCUUUCUUCCUUCUGUUUUGAAACAGAAAAUAGAUGUACACAGUACAGUCGAGUUGCGUGUCUGUGUUUUCAGAAUCCCCAUGUCACACAGUCACUAGUACUGGGGACUGUUGAUCUAGCCUUUUCGGGCAGGUCAUUAGCCUACUUUUUAGUUUAGGAGCUCGAUGGAGCAUGCCUAAUUACUCCGAAAAAAGGACUUUGCUGUGCUAGAAAGUAGAAUGUUUGUUGCUGGGACAGCUACAUAAUUGUAAUGAUGUAGUAUGAUGGUGUAGUGGAUGACGAUAUGCAUCAUUAACUUGCUGCUGUCGUGCUGAGUCGAGUGUAGAUUGACAAGUGGACCGGUGACGUUACAUCCUUGGUUGAUCUCUCCCUCCCUCUGAAGACAACUGAGAUUAAUAAUAUGAGUUUACACCCAUACUUCAAUUCGUCAGUAGGCGGACAACGAGCUGCUAGCAACAGGCCUCCACUUCCCAGUUCUUUCACCCUAUCCGAUGUGCAACGGCUGAGCAACAAGCGAGACACAUGUCUGAUGGUGAUUGAAGACAAGGUCUAUGAUGUCACUGGGUUUCUAAGCCAGCACCCGGGAGGAAAAGAAAUUUUGCUGAAGUUUGUCGGAACUAACGCCACUGCUGCAUUCCGACGUGUGGGCCACACUCGGCGAGCUAGAGAUCUGCUCAGCCAAUGCUACGUUGGACCUUUGAAGCCAAGUGAUAGCUGACGGAGUGUGGCAGAGGUAGCACUGUCUACUGGAGGUGGCAACGUGAGGCAUGCUAAUGUGAGGCGUCAGAGCGUUGUUGUCGUGUACAUUGCUUCGUCCCGACUGGGUGUUUUGCCUGCCAAGUGAAGGAAUGUCUGGCUACAUGUGUGCUGUAUGCAGUGCAAUCUGUCCUGGUGCUUUUGUUUUAGUCCACGUGGGUGUGCAAGCUCCUAUCAUGACCACUAUACAUCCCACCGUGCAGCAGCAGCAACACCAACAACAACAGCAGUAGCAGCAGCAAGAACAACAACAGCAACAGCAGCAAGAACAACAACAGCAACAGCAGUAGCAGUUCACCGACUCAGUCCAUGCUCAACAGAAACUAUCCUACUGUAGUCGCCGUAGCAGCUUUUUCUUUGUCUUGAUUUUUAUAUUAUCUCCACCAUUGACGUUUCAGCAAGGAGUAAACAAGAAGCUGUUUUGGAAGCAUUUUAAGAACUCAGAUGGUGAGCCAAGGUUCCAUGUGACAUGUUUUCCUUGUUGCAAUUUUUUGGAAGCAGUCAUAUUAAGGACAAUGUCAAAGAUGCUAUUUUUUUAUCUUUUUAAUUUUUACAAUGUCUUGGUUUGGAAAUCCUGAAUGCCAAUGCAUUGUUUUUUUUUAGUCUCAUUGCCUUUGCCAUUGAUAACCCCUGAUCUACUAGCAUUAUUGGAUGUUGCUUAGUUCUUGAGAAUUGCGAUCGUAUUCAUUCUUCUAGUAUAACAAGAAAACUCGUGUACGCACACAUUGUUUUGCAUAGGAAAAUACCCGUAAUUACACGGGAAAAAUCUAA